rnacentral:sRNA from 1 species
ACCACCGCCGAGACCGCGUCCGCCCCGCGAGCACAGACCCUCGCCUUUGCCGCUCCACCGCCCGUCCACACCCGCCGCCAGAUCAUGUUUGAAACCUUCAACACCCCAGCCAUGUACGUGGCUAUCCAGGCUGUGCUGUCCCUGUACGCCUCUGGCCGUACCACUGGCAUCGUGAUGGACUCCGGUGACGGGGUCACCCACACUGUGCCCAUCUACGAGGGGUAUGCCCUCCCCCAUGCCAUCCUGCGUCUGGACCUGGCUGGCCGGGACCUGACUGACUACCUCAUGAAGAUCCUCACCGAGCGCGGCUACAGCUUCACCACCACGGCCGAGCGGGAAAUCGUGCGUGACAUUAAGGAGAAGCUGUGCUACGUCGCCCUGGACUUCGAGCAGGAGAUGGCCACGGCUGCUUCCAGCUCCUCCCUGGAGAAGAGCUACGAGCUGCCCGAUGGCCAGGUCAUCACCAUUGGCAACGAGCGGUUCCGCUGCCCCGAGGCGCUCUUCCAGCCUUCCUUCCUUGGCAUGGAGUCCUGUGGCAUUCACGAAACUACCUUCA